rfam:Crassostrea gigas strain 05x7-T-G4-1.051#20 contig12821, whole genome shotgun sequence.
GGCCAGAUAGCUCAGUUGUUAGAACACCUGACUAGAGAUUCAGGGGGCCUGGGUUGAAAUUCCAGUCUGGUCC